GCAUCCAUAGCUCAGUUUGGAUAGAGUACUCGGCUACGAACCGGGUGGUCGGAGGUUCGAAUCCUUCUGGAUGCG
rnacentral:tRNA from 1 species